rnacentral:lncRNA from 1 species
AAGAGAGAAAAUCAAGAAUCUCCUUCAAGUGAAAAAUUCUAUGGUUGUGGAGAAAGAGGACACAUGAAAACUGAAUGUCCAAAGAACAAGAAAAGUGAGGAAAAGAAGUAAAGAAAAUUUCAAAAGAAAAAGAAAGCUUACAUAGCUUGGGAGGACAAUGCUUCCAGCUCAACAAGCUCAAGUGAUUCAGAUGAGGAAGCUAAUAUUUGUCUAAUGGCUGACUCAGAAGAUACUGGAAGCCAAGUAAGUGAUUCUAGCUUUGAAUCUAGUGAAUUAGACUUGCAAAAGGCUUUCUUUUAAUUAAUGAAUGGGUCUGAAAAACUUGAUGUUGCACAUAAAAAGCUUAAGAAAGAGCACAAUGAAUUGAAAUUGAAAUAUGACAAAUUGCUUGAUGAUGAAGUUGUUUUAAGAAAUAAAAUUAG